rnacentral:rRNA from 1 species
GUGAGGAAUUUUCCGCAAUGGGCGAAAGCCUGACGGAGCAAUGCCGCGUGAAGGAUGAAGGCCUAUGGGUUGUAAACUUCUUUUCUCAGAAAAGAAUUAUGACGGUAUCUGAGGAAUAAGCAUCGGCUAACUCUGUGCCAGCAGCCGCGGUAAGACAGAGGAUGCAAGCGUUAUCCGGCAUGAUUGGGCGUAAAGCGUCUGUAGGUUGUUUAAAAAGUAUUCUGUCAAAGAUUAGGGCUUAACCCUAGAUAGGCAGAAUAAACUUUUAAGCUAGAGUUUGGGAGAGGCAGAGGGAAUUCCCGGUGGAGCGGUGAAAUGCGUAGAUAUCGGGAGGAACACCAAAGGCGAAGGCACUCUGCUGGGCCAAUACUAACACUGAGAGACGAAAGCGAGGGGAGCAAAUGGGAUUAGAAACCCGAGUAGUCC